rnacentral:lncRNA from 1 species
UUUUAUCUCUUGGAUUUUGUUGGCCUUUUUCUAUUUAAAACAUCCUUCUUCUUCUUGUUUUGUAUCUCAUCUCAAAAAACUCAUAUGUCUGUGCUUUUGAUCGCGACUUAGUAAGUCUAUGGGAUUCGUGACUGCAAGUGCACAGUCUUAUCGCGUAGUUUUAAAGAUUAUCGAACCCAAAUGACUAAUAAUCGAACAUACCAUUAUCUAAUGUUAC